UGGAAUAUAAGGAGAUUUGACCUGUGCUGCUGUGAUUAACAGACAUCAGAGGCAUGGUACCAUGAGGACAGAGACCUCAACUGUGUGUUCAUCAUUAAGUCUCCAGAAUUCAGCAAAAUAUAUGGCACAUAGAAGGAAGAAAAACAACAGUAACUAGAUGAAGCAAGGACCACCCUUCUGGACAACAAAGGGAGAGGAAUGAAAGUCUGACCUAGGAAAAGACGGAGUCUCGCUGUGUUGUCCAGGAUGGAGUGCAGUGGUGCUUUCUCAGCUCACUGCAACCUCUGCCUCCCAGUUCAAGCAAUUCUUCUGACUCAGCCUCCUGAGUAGCUGGGAUUACAGGCACCUGCUACCACACCAUGCUAAUUUUUGUAUUUUUAGUAGAGACGGGGUUUCUCCAUGUUGGCCUGGCUGGUCUCGAACUCCUGACCUCAGGUGAUCCACCUGCCUCGGCCUCUCAAAAUGCUAGGAUUACAGGUGUGAGCCACCACACCUGGCCAACUUAUCCUUUUUUUAACAUCUAGUUUUCUGUGAGUGUUUUCUAAUGUGCACUGUAGACGGACAUAGUGGUAUGUGAUUACUAUUCAUAGAUAAAUAAUAAUUUGUUUAUUAUUGUGUAAUAAACAUUGUGUGAUAAAGAA
rnacentral:lncRNA from 1 species